GUUUGAGCUUGAGUUUAGUUUUUCUAUUUCAAUUGCAGUCUUUUUUUGUUUUUCGGUGUCAUUGGCGUUUUACUUCUGGCUGGCAGUGGUUACCAUUUUUUUAUUAUGUUACAUCUUAAUUUUCGGAUUUCUUAUUACCUUUGUUUUUCAUAUUCCGUUUAGUUCUUAUCUUGUGUUUAGUUUUCCUAUAUUUUGUUGUUUUUUAAUUACAUUAGCUUUAAUCCAAGAUAUUAAUAUUUUUGGGCUUUUAGCAUUUUG
rnacentral:lncRNA from 1 species